rnacentral:rRNA from 1 species
GACGAACGCUGGCGGCGUGCUUAACACAUGCAAGUCGAACGGAAAGGCCCUGCUUUCAGGGUACUCGAGUGGCGAACGGGUGAGUAACACGUGGGUGAUCUGCCCUGCACUUCGGGAUAAGCCUGGGAAACUGGGUCUAAUACCGGAUAGGAGCCAUUUUUAGUGUGAUGGUUGGAAAGUUUUUUCGGUGUAGGAUGAGCUCGCGGCCUAUCAGCUUGUUGGUGGGGUAAUGGCCUACCAAGGCGGCGACGGGUAGCCGGCCUGAGAGGGUGGACGGCCACAUUGGGACUGAGAUACGGCCCAGACUCCUACGGGAGGCAGCAGUGGGGAAUAUUGCACAAUGGGCGCAAGCCUGAUGCAGCGACGCCGCGUGGGGGAUGACGGCCUUCGGGUUGUAAACUCCUUUCGCUAGGGACGAAGCUUUUUGUGACGGUACCUAGAUAAGAAGCACCGGCUAACUACGUG